GUGUCAGCAGCCGCGGUAAGACAGAGGUGCCAAGCGUUAGGCGGAAUCACUGGGCUUAAAGCGUGUGUAGGCGGAUUGACAAGUACCUUGUGAAAUCCCACGGCUUAACCGUGGAACUGCUUGGUAUACUGUCUGUCUUGAGCUAUCUAGAGGCAACUGGAACAAACGGUGGAGCGGUGAAAUGCGUAGAUAUCGUUUGGAAUGCCAAAGGUGAAAACAGGUUGCUGGGGAUAUGCUGACGCUGAGACACGAAAGCCAGGGGAGCAAACGGGAUUAGAAACCCUAGUAGUCC
rnacentral:rRNA from 1 species